rnacentral:pre_miRNA from 1 species
CUACUACUCCCUCCGUCCAAAAAUACUUGUCAUUGAAAUGGAUGUAUCUAGAUGUAUUUUAGUUCUAGACACAUCCGUUUUGAUGACAAGUAAUUCCGUAUGGAGGGAGUAUUAU